AUUGAACGCUGGCGGCAUGCUUUACACAUGCAAGUCGAACGGCAGCACGAGUGCUUGCACUUGGUGGCGAGUGGCGGACGGGUGAGUAAUGCAUCGGAACGUGUCUUAAAGUGGGGGAUAACGCAUCGAAAGAUGUGCUAAUACCGCAUAUUCUCUCAGGAGGAAAGUAGGGGAUCGAAAGACCUUAUGCUUUAAGAGCGGCCGAUGUCUGAUUAGCUAGUUGGUAAGGUAAUGGCUUACCAAGGCGACGAUCAGUAGUUGGUCUGAGAGGACGACCAGCCACACUGGGACUGAGACACGGCCCAGACUCCUACGGGAGGCAGCAGUGGGGAAUUUUGGACAAUGGGCGCAAGCCUGAUCCAGCAAUGCCGCGUGAGUGAAGAAGGCCUCGGUGUAAGACUCUUCAGUCGAGAGAAAGAUUAGUGACUAAUAAUCAUAAUUAGAUGACGGUAUCGACAGAAGAAG
rnacentral:rRNA from 1 species